GUGCUUGCUUUGGCAGCACAUAUACUAAAACUGGAACGAUACAAAGAAGAUUAGCAUGGCUCCUGCACAAGGAUGACACGAAAAGAAAAGAAAAACAGAAAAUAGAG